GUCAGUAUUCUUCGGGAAAAGCAAAAAGGAGCGGCAAACCGGAAGAUCCAUAUCUAACAAUCUGUGACUUUGCGUUGCAAGUUUUGUCUCAGGAAGAAGAGCGGCAUCGAUAGUAGCAGAAACGAGCCGAAGUAUUAGCGUCAUACCAUCGUUCGUUUUCAGAGAGAAUCCUUCACUUAUGGAGCUCCUGGUCCAGGCGCAUGCAGUGGUUUUGGCGGAUCUACUGGAGAUUUGUCAGGGACUUUUGCUGCAGAACACCCAACAUUUAGCUAAUUUAUGAAAUACUUGCUGGUAAGUAGAGUUUUUAUAUCCUAGCAUAGAAAAACAUGAUUAAACUUUAUCUAGAAUUGAAUUUAUAUUUGAUAGAAGUGUGUCCUUGAUAAACUGAAAAAGCUAGAUCUUAACAAUCAUAUAGCAGAACUUUUGCAAAAAACUAGGACUAUAGCAAGAUGUGCAGCACAUCACAACCAAUUGGUGAACAAGUACUACUGUUCUCAAAUUAGAACUAAUAGAUGGAAACAAGAGGAGAGAUCAUGGUAACAAGAUGAAGUAACUCCAAUUUGGAAGUGUACUAUGGCAUCCAAAAGGUACUUUCUGUGUCUCGGUACUUUUAAGCAGUCAAACAUCUGACAGGUACUUCAUUGAAACAAACAUAUAUGGCCCUUCAACUAAUUCAAAUUAGGCACUUGCUUUGGUUGGAGCUGAGCUAAUGGAUGUAGGGAUUGGUUUGCAAUAAUUUAAAACACUAAACUUUUCUCGGAGAAUAAUUGGAAAUUUGAACAGAUGCUAUCGGAAGUGGCUCUUGUCUAGUGCCAAUAGAGCAAACAUUGCAAAGUCCAACGGCUUUUUGUAUUGCUUAAGGAAAUCAAUAUAUAUAGGAGUCUUGAUCUUAAACAAGCUUACAGUCGAAGACGCAAAGAGAUUGAUGCUAGAUUGUUCAUAUUAGUGUGUCAAAGAAGAAUUCAGACCAUUAACAUUUUGUAAGCUAGAUGACCUGAGUUUCUUUGGAACAAGCGCUACUCCCAUAUCUAAUAAAAUGGAACACUCUUCCUGGUGUUGGGACAGAAACACCAAUUGAAUCUGAACUUUAUUGUGGGGCUCAAAUGAGGACAAAGAUCAUAUCCUAAUUGGUUUAAUCAGUGUUGAAUAAACAAUAUAUACAAUUAACAACCUGAGCUUCUUGGUAGCUUCAAAGGCUCAUUCUUGGCAGACAAAAUUCAUGGCUUCACACAUGAUUAUAUUUGACCUUUGGUUUUUAAUAGGUUUCUUUGCAAGAUCUUUUAGCUUGGAUCAGCCAUUCAUUCAAGGCCUUAGUGCCAAAAGAGGGAGUUGCUCAUCCUAAUGAGUUGUGACCACUAUAUUCUAAGUCACUCAUUAGCUAACAUAAUCUCAAAGCUCCUAGCAUAUCAAGUGAAAAUGAUGACUUCAAGUCUAGUGGGCUUCUCAAUUAGGUUUCCAGGUCUGAACUGAGAUUUUUUUUUUUCUCAACUCAGUUCAUCGUAAUCUAUUCUCAUGUAAUGGUCGAAGAAAUAAUUUUGAUCCUUUCCAAAUCUCUUUGAAGAUGCUUAUUUGCAUAGUAUUAUUAGUUGAUAAGCAUUUUUUUUCCCUUGGAACAUUGACAAUGAUAGAAGUAUAGAAAAAGACAGAUGUGAAGAAGAGUUCUUUCGAUCAAAGUCAUAAUCUUUUGAGCUCUCAAGAAUGUACAAUUUUGGUGCCAGUGAAGAUCAAGUAAAUCAAGAUACCCUUCAAGCUUUAGCUGUUCAAAGAUAGUAACAUAUGUAAGAUUGUCUUGAGAGAAAAGGUAUCAAAAUGAAUAACCAAAGAGUGUCUAGGGAAUAUGAAUAAGAUGAUUUUUCAUGAAAUAAAUGAAUUCUCAUUAGGGUCUUAACUUUAGAACCCCAAUCUAUAGAGCCUGCUACUAGACAUCUCAAGCUUUCUUAGGUGGUGUAUCCAAAAGUUUAAGGAAUAAAAAAAUUACUAAUCGUAAGCGAUGCUAUCACCUAGGUUAUGGGUUCUUUAAUUUGAUUGGAACAAGAUAGUUUCCCAGAUCAAUUCUAUCUCGCACGGUGAAAAAAAAAAGAGAGAGAAACAAAAAACAAGGAGUUGCUAUUUCAAAAAGUGAACAAUUGGUACAUAUGUUAUGAGAACAAGGAGAAAAAUGAGAUGUGGAGGGUUGUGUAGUUCCCAAGUGAGGUGUGAUUACAGUUAAAGUGAUUGUCAUGCAAUGAAUAUAAUCUAAAUUAGCUACUGGUUUGAUGCCCCAAGUGGCAUCUCAAACUGCUGAAUUGUCUUAUCUUGAAAACUGAUGGAAAAAAGCAACAAAAAAAAAAAAAUACAGAAGGAACUAGGUGAGAUCUUUGCAUUGUUGUUACCUGGUGAGGCUUCUGGGAAAGAACCAUCACCACAAUCAGCACAUUGAUCUGCUGAAGACAUCAAAAGGCUAUGACUGUGUAAGUAUCUUCUUUAAUAUUAUUCCACCUUUGAAGUAAAAAAAUCAUAACCAUUUCCACUAUGGUAGAAUGCUUUAAAGUAAAUAAUGACUUUUUCGAUAAAAGUAGACAUGCGGCUGUCACCUUCCAUGAGAUAUCUUCCUUUCGACUUUACCAUUGUUGACGCAUCUACAAAACAUGCUGCAUAUCAUCAGGCAAUUAUGCAAAAUCAUCAUUUCGUUAAUAAUAAUCAAGUUUUAUUUUUUUGCAGGGACAACGAUGAACAUUAGAUUUGUUAUACAUUCUUUCUUUUGAAUAAUAGCAGUUUUUUGUAUUCUCUUUUUCAACUUUCUU